rnacentral:rRNA from 1 species
UACGAAGGAUUCGAGCGUUAUCCGGAUUUAUUGGGUUUAAAGGGUGCGUAGGCGGACUGAUAAGUCAGUGGUGAAAGCCUGUUGCUUAACAACAGAACUGCCAUUGAUACUGCCAGUCUUGAGUACAGUUGAGGUAGGCGGAAUGUGUCAUGUAGUGGUGAAAUACUUAGAUAUGACACAGAACACCGAUUGCGAAGGCAGCUUGCUAAACUGUAACUGACGCUCAGGCACGAAAGCGUGGGGAGCAAAAGGG